AUGAAAACAGCUUCAUGCAGGGACCACUGUAAAAACAGACUACCAGCCACAGAGGAGAAGGAUGGUUUGCUGAAGGCCAUACAAGAAUCACAGCCCUCAUUCAAGGAUAAAGCAAUGGGACUGCACUGCCUUCUACAUUACAUUACCUCCGUGUUCACCAAAACAUACAAAUGUUCUAAGUAUUAAAGAUACAAAUUUAUGAGAACUACAACUGCAUUAAAACACAAUGCUACCAGUGACAGGAAACACACUUGGCCUUCCAGACAAGUCAGAAGAAAUCAGUGAAGGAUCAAUCUGUGCCAAGGUAUUUUGAGAUGCUGAUAAUACUAAGGAACUUGCUAGCAUUCUAAUAACUCUUAUAUAUAUUCCAGAAAAUAGAGUGUAGCUGUCUCAGUAAGAAACAUGAAUUUUUCUUUUUCAAAAACUUUUAAGGGUAUGAUUGUAGAAUAACCUGUCAGAUAUGCAAGGAGAGAUUUCUGCUAAGAAAAACAUGAUGCAGUUUCUAGCUGCAG
rnacentral:lncRNA from 1 species